UCUGGAUUAGCUCAGCGGUAGAGUAGUCGGCUGUUAACCGAUUGGUCGUAGGUUCGAAUCCUACAUCCAGAGCCA
rnacentral:tRNA from 5 species